AUGCUCGCUUCGGUAGCACAUACACUAAACGUGGAACGACAGAGAAGAUUAGCUUGGCCCCUGCACAAGGAUGACACGCAAAUUUGUGAAGCGUUCCAUAUUUUU
ensembl:snRNA U6 U6 spliceosomal RNA